GGAAAGAGUUAGACAGGGAGGGAAAUGGGGGAGAAGAUGAGGAAAGACCUCUUUGCAAGGCUGCGAAGGGUCUGCAAUUGUUGUAGAAAGCUCUUGAAGACCUCCCCCACCAUUGACUCCACCGAGGGAAAGCCCCCCCGAGGGAGGUUCUGGCGACGAAAGAACAGAAUCGAGCCAACUCCAGUGCCACCUCCAACUCCCGCAGGGGGCUCCCCGGCAGUCUCUGGAGUCACCAUCGGUCUGACAAUUGUAGAAGAGGAAGUGGACAGCGCAGAGGUCAUCUUCAGCUGGACCCAGUUUUUGUCAGCCGUAAUAGAAGAUGUUAAAGAGGCCAAGUCGUUGGGCUUUAUGCUGUCCUAUGAUAAGGACGAGGCCGUGGAGGCCGUACUGGAAAUUAUGGAGGACAUAAGGGAGCAUCCGGACCCUGGGUUCCUGCUUAGGUUUACCAUGGACACCGUCACGGAACUCACCACAAUGAAGCCGCCUAUGCAGUUCAAUAUAAAGGCUGCAGUUCUGAACGUGGCGGUGUCCGGGCUCAACCAACUGGACCCAGGGACCCAGGAGAACAUGGCAUCCUUCAAGAAUAUGCUCAGGGGGCUGCUGGAGGAGGCCCCCUCUGUCUACAACACAAUCGGCAUCUUGAAAGAGCUCCACAAGUACAUUGACUCAGAGGAGCCCCGGCUGCAGGCUCUGGGCCGAGAAGCCUACGGAUACGCUCUGGCGCAUGUGAUCAGACUUCCCAAUUUGGAACUGGCCACACACAAGGAUUUUUCGAGCACUGAAGAUGAGUUGACUCAUCAUUUGAUUAAAAGCACCAUCAAAGACGAUCUUGUCCUGGAGGAUUUCAACGAGGAGGAGGAGUGGUAGUUUGGUAAAUGGUAAGAGAAAUGUUUGAGAUCUGGAAGCAUUUCAAUCCUGAAGUGUGUAAGAAAAGAAGGGGGAGCAUAACAACUCAAGAAAGGCUAGAACUACUGAUGGAUGGGCUAACAGUCCAAAUUCCAAAACAGCCAUCCCAGUUCCUAGAGGAAAGGUCUCUUAUUGAAUACGAUCCUGCGCCUUUCAAAAACAAUUGACCAUAUGCCACGGAGGGCUUUUGUUCCGUCCAGUUUUCCCUUGGAUGUGCAAAAGUAUCUGCACGGUUCACACAUCUUUAAUGCUUCUCUGAGGAAGGGCGGGAUGCCUCCUUGCCCCAGGAAGGCCAUGAUUAGACCAGGGAUGAAGAAAAAUGCAUUGGAUUCCAUUCUGGGCCUGUCUCCAACCUCCCACAGUAGGACCAGGAAAUGGCCUAACUUCCCUAAAGACUUACCUGGAGUCCGUAAUGAGCCGGAUGAGGGAGAACAGAGGCUGAAUCUAAGGAAGACAGAGCAUUUUGAAGCCAACUACAAGUGAAAAGAUUCUUAAGCCAAUGCACACACUACUCUGUGCUGCCAACAGAGUGCAGCCCGUGAAGCUUGUCACUCCCACCCCGAUAUCUCAACUGCCUAAAAUCCACAAAAAAUCUCAGCCAUCAGCUCUGAUUCAGAAAAAGGUGUCUUUGAUGCCUACGGACCCUAAUCCUGAGCAGGGACUUCCAGUCCGAGACAGGGAUCAUCACGUUGCCAACACAGACUCAAGAGACCGCUCCACUCCCAACAAGGGAGACUCCAGAGAAGCCACACCAAGUUCACCCUCCGAUCCUGAACGUGACUUCGAUCCAGUUCACACGGAGGGCGAUACCAUCAACCCUAGCUUGUCUUCUCAACACAAAACCCCUCCGGACUGAAGAACGUUCCCUACACAAUACCGACGAUACAGAAGAGACUCUACGUGAUACCAACCCUCUCCGGGUCACAGGGAAUCUCCUCACCAUCUGUACUCUCCAAAAUGCUGUCCCAUAGGAUUUGGCCUAUUGCUACUGAGAACUUUGACACUGAGACUACUCUCCAUCUGAUCGUGCCUGAUCGUUAACACUUAGUAUUUCAAUGACAGAUCUGGCAUUGAUGAUAGAGAAUGCUGUCUCCACCCUUGCUCUUGGGCUCCACAUCGACACCAACAUCCAGAGAGACAGGACCAUCCAGACUCUCGGUCCCGAUCACACUCUCCUCAGCACUGCAGGUCUUGGUCUCAGUCAAGAGAUAAGAGAACUCAACCACCUAAGCAGCCGGACAUUGACCCUCUACCACCAGAUUCCUCAACUGAAGAAUCCGCCUCAGAGGAAGAUGCAGAAACAGCCUUGGACAUCGCAUCGGGUGCCACACCUUCAGAUCUAAUUGAAGCUCCAAAGCCUCUGUCUCCCUCUGAGUACCUGAAGCUCUUCACUGACCAAGCGGCCAAUAUGGCUACCUCUUUAGGUAUCCAGAUUAACGAACCUCCUCAAUCUUCUCCUGAUCCCAUUUUUAGGCCAAUUGGUGCAGAUACUUUGGACUCUUUCUUCCUACCACUUAACUCUGCUUGAACUGGCAUUGUCAAAGCUUGCUGGGGGAAACCUGCAUCUUUGCCACCUACCUCUCGGACGCAAGAAGGUUUUUACAAGGUUCAAGCCGGGCACAAUCAAUUCCUUCUGCGCCAUCCUACACCUCACUCCAUUAUAACUGGAGCUGCUCAAUCCUGUGCAAAGAACAGAAUCCAUUCAGCAGCACCUGACACAGGAGGCAGAGAAGUAGAUGCCCUUGGGCCUGUCCCCUUCCAAACAGCUCCUCCAUACGUCUUGCCAUGCCACUGACUGUACGGUUCAUUCAAUGUCCACUGUGGUAACUGUGUGCUGGCACACGUGGAUGCAUUCAUCUACCUUGGCACCAGGAACAAGAGCAAGAACAGAUAAUUUACCU